rnacentral:rRNA from 1 species
GAUCCUGGCUCAGGAUGAACGCUAGCGGCAGGCUAACACAUGCAAGUCGAGGGGCAUCGGGAGUAGCAAUACUUGCCGGCGACCGGCGCAAGGGUGCGUAACGCGUGAGCAACAUGCCCGUAUCAGGGGGAUAAUCCAUGGAAACGUGGUCUAAUACCCCAUAGUAAUUAUGUAAGGCAUCUUAUAUAAUUUAAAGCUUUGGUGGAUACGGAUUGGCUCGCGUGACAUUAGCUGGAUGGUAAGGUAACGGCUUACCAUGGCUACGAUGUCUAGGGGUUCUGAGAGGAAGGUCCCCCACACUGGUACUGAGACACGGACCAGACUCCUACGGGAGGCAGCAGUGAGGAAUAUUGGUCAAUGGGCGGGAGCCUGAACCAGCCAAGUCGCGUGAAAAGGAAGAAGGAUCUAUGGUUCGUAAACUUCUUUUGCAGGGGAAUAAAGUGCAGGACGUGUCCUGUUUUGUAUGUACCCUGAGAAUAAGGAUCGGCUAACUCCGUGCCAGCAGCUGC